rnacentral:lncRNA from 1 species
AUGUACAGAAAGGAGGAGCACACGCCAUGCAUGUGCAGAGAGGAGGAGCACACGCCAUGCAUGUGCAGAGAGGAGGAGCACAUGCUCUGUGCAUGUGCAGAGAGGAGGAGCACACGCCAUGCAUGUGUAGAGAGGAGGAGCAUGCACCAUGCAUGUGUAGAGAGGAGGAGCACAUGCCAUGCAUGUGUAGAGAUGAGGAGCACGUGCCAUGCAUGUGUAGAGAGGAGGAGCACACGCCAUGCAUGUGUAGAGAGGAGGAGCACAUGCCAUGCAUGUGUAGAGAUGAGGAGCACGCGCCAUGCAUGUGUAGAGAGGAGGAGCACAUGCCAUGCAUGUGCAGAGAGGAGGAGCACACGCCAUGCAUGUGUAGAGAGGAGGAGCACACGCCAUGCAUGUGUAGAGAGGAGGAGCACACGCCAUGCAUGUGUAGAGAGGAGGAGCACACGCCAUGCAUGUGCAGAGAGGAGGAGCAUGCGCCAUGCAUGUGCAGAGAGGAGGAGCAUGCUCCGCGCACGUGCAGAGAGGAAGAGUGCACGCCGUGCACAUGCAGAGGAGCGCCUGUGUGCACAUACAGAGAAGCCCACCCCACCGAGGCUGCCGCCUCCACACAGCAGAGCUCCCGUGGGCCCAGUGGUUGGUGGAAGGGCCUCUUUUUUUUUUUCCAGAGCUUCUUUACUUGACGUCAAAAGGAAAAAGCCAAGCAAAAGCAAGGCAGGAAAGCGCCUCAGGUCUUGUUGGAAGAUGGCUUCACUGAUGAUCAAAAACAUUGGCAGCUGGGAUUCCUUUUAACGUCUUUAAUUUUUAUCUAAUCUGCUCCAAAAUGACUGGAUGGUGUCCAAGCCCUUCACUGGAAACAAAUAAGCCUGCAAUCCAAUAGCGUGCUUAACAUGGAGAGAAAGUCACAGAAACCUGAAUGUGCUCGGAUGAAAGGCAAGCAUGGUAGCCAAAAGCGACACCUGCGAGUCCCACUCCUGGCUGUGGACGCGGACAGUGACAGUGCGACGGUGAGUCCCAGUCACCUGUCCAGUAGCCACCAUCAUAGCAGGGCACUUGUUCCCAACAGAGCCACAGAGGCUCACGGACACAGCAGUGAGGAGGAGACAAGGUGGGUGGAGCACAGCUGACUCCUGGAGCCGGGGAGCACCCGGGGGGAGCAGGGCUGGGGGCCCAGCGAGGGCAAAUUCUCACCCUGUGCAGCUAAACGUGCUUACACCCAGCAGGUGGCGGCCCCGGGAUGUGACACGAGCAGCCCCAGUCUGACUUUUCUCAUUUGUUUCAUGAGAAGCCCGGAAUCUGGGAUUUUAUGUGAGAUUGCUGAUUAUUUAACGUUUGUAAUGAAUAAAAGUUUUCAAAACGUGAGCUACA